GUGCUCACUUUAGCAGCACAUGUACUAAAAUUGGAAUGAUACAGAGAAUAUUUGCAUGGCCCCAGUGCAAGGGUGACACAAAAAUUCAUGAAGCAUUCCAGAUUAUU
ensembl:snRNA U6 U6 spliceosomal RNA